AUUGAACGCUGGCGGCAUGCUUUACACAUGCAAGUCGAACGGUAACAGGGUGCUUGCACCGCUGACGAGUGGCGAACGGGUGAGUAAUGCGUCGGAACGUGCCGAGUAGUGGGGGAUAACGCAGCGAAAGUUGUGCUAAUACCGCAUACGUACUGAGGUAGAAAGUGGGGGACCUUCGGGCCUCACGCUAUUCGAGCGGCCGACGUCUGAUUAGCUAGUAGGUGAGGUAAAGGCUCACCUAGGCGACGAUCAGGAGCGGGUCUGAGAGGAUGAUCCGCCACACUGGGACUGAGACACGGCCCAGACUCCUACGGGAGGCAGCAGUGGGGAAUUUUGGACAAUGGGCGAAAGCCUGAUCCAGACAUGCCGCGUGUCUGAAGAAGGCCUUCGGGUUGUAAAGGACUUUUGUCAGGGAGGAAAUCCCUAGUGCUAAUAACACUGGGGGAUGACGGUACCUGAAGAAUAAGCACCGGCUAACUACGUGCCAGCCGCCGCAGUAA
rnacentral:rRNA from 1 species